ACACAUGCAAGUCGAACGCUGUAGCAAUACACAGUGGCGGACGGGUGUGUAACACGUGGGAACAUACCCUUCGGUUCGGAAUAACUCAGGGAAACUUGAGCUAAUACCGGAUACGUCCGCGAGGAGAAAGAUUCAUCGCCAAAGGAUUGGCCCGCGUCUGAUUAGCUAGUUGGUGAGGUAAUGGCUCACCAAGGCGACGAUCAGUAACUGGUCUGAGAGGAUGAUCAGCCACAUUGGGACUGAGACACGGCCCAAACUCCUACGGCAGGCACCAGUGGGGAAUAUUGGACAAUGGGCGAAAGCCUGAACCAGCCAUGCCGCGUGAGUGAUGAAGGCCCUAGGGUUGUAAAGCUCUUUUACCUGGGAAGAUAAUGACGGUACCAGGAGAAUAAGCCCCGGCUAACUUCCUGCCAGCAGCCGCGGUGAU
rnacentral:rRNA from 1 species